AGAAUAAUUUCUAAAUUAAUUUAAUUGAAAAAAAUGUAGCUACUUUGUUUUACAGUAUUUUUUACAGUCAGAAGCUAUAUACGUUUUGGAAGUACGUUUCCGUUAAUUUUUAAUUUUUAUUGGAUUUAUAGAAGAAGUAUGUAGCGAGAGACAUUCAGAGCAGUGUGGCAAAGAGUUAACAGAACCACGAAACACACGUUGCACGAUUUCAAGUAGGCAAAGACAAGAUGGCCGUGACGCUUCUCUUUCGUCGGUUCGUUCGCUGUAAGGCAAACAAACUUCUUGAGAAUUCGUGGUCUAGAGAGCUCAGGGCGUACGAUAUCACCGGAUAGACGUUGGAUGACAUUAAAUAAUUGCCCUCUCGAUGCUCCACUUCCAGGACCAGUUACCCGAUACCUCGUCACGUGUAUCGAUAUGUAAACACUUUGGUUCGAUUGACUGCGAUCAACGAGUUAAUGCGCAGCGGGUCAUUGGAUCGAGAACACUAUGAUAAGAAAGUUUAGAGACUUCCUUCGUAAAUAUUACAAAGCGACGUCUUACGUUAUCGACUACGAAAUUCAUAAUGAAUUAUAUAUUUCGCGCAUAUCUACGCAAUAAUCUAACAAUCUAAUUUAAUAAAAGAAAAUAAUACUUUUUCUCCUGUGAUAGACAAUGAUACUUUCACCAGAUGCGAUAAGACACUUCAAUUCAUUGGCGUAAUUGUAAACAAUCAUAAUAAGCUGACAUAACGCCAUUGAAAAGAUAAAGUACGGAUCAUUUUUAUUCCAUUCUCAUUCAAGAAUCAGUACCAACGCAAUAUCCGCGGUUUGUAACAUAAAGUCGACACAUUGAAGCUCUCGAAGAUCAUUUGUGUCUUCCAUUCGUACAUGUUUUAUGAAUUGCACUUCUUUUCUUUCGAAGUAUAAAAUUAAUACUAACAAGUACGUAUGUACAUCUUUUUUUAUGUAGCAUACAGUACUUAAAAAAUUUGUAAGAAGAUUUUCCACCUAUUCACAUUGAUCUUCAAAAUGUGGAGCUCUACGCGAUUUCGGGAAUUAAUUAUGCCUUUCGCCAGAAAAUUUCACACAAUUUUCAGGUGAAAAGCACAAUUAGUUCUUGAAAUCGCGAACGUGUUAACAACAAUUUUGCUUUUUCAUCGAAAUGUGAUUCAAGUGAAAUGAGAAGGUAUAAUGGAAGUCCGACAUUUUGUGUUCCACGAACGGAAGUGCGUGAUGACGCUUAAGAUCUGUCGGGAACUGACAUCACGAGUAAAAUUUCCAGAUAAUCAGCCCUAAUUUCAGGAUAAUCGAUGAUGUACGAAUUCCGAGAGGAACUUAAAACAGAAAAUGGAGGGCGGUUCUAUGAUCGGGCGGAGCAUAGCUCUAACUUCUCGUUGGUCAACAGGUGAACCAAUCGUUUCUUCGAGCUUUUUCGUACCGUCUGCAAGCGCGUAUCCUGAAAUUGUAAAACUCAUUGCUCGCGAGUUAGUCGCUUCUGUAGAUACCAUUAAAAUAAGGAAAUUGUAGUUUUUCACCGAAAAAUGAAUAUCGGUAAUUAUGCAUUGUUUCUGUUAACUAAGAUAUAUAUAUGCAAUAUCUUUUCCACUUUUCUGAGUACCUACAUUUUCUUAGGAUUAACGAAAACAGUUAUCAGAAAAUA